CCACAGAACAUUCCAUUUAACAGAGGCUCUCGGAACGAUUCAUUUUUGCUAUGAGUCUUGAUAAAUUGGAGAAGAGCCCAAGAGAAAUUUUUCAUCACUUGAUAAAAAAGGGAUCGGUGAAUUUUAACUUUGGAGUCCUCUAUGCUAAGGAUGCUCAGCUUACAGAUGAUGAAAUGUUCAGUAAUGUAUUUGCUGCAGCUCUGCUUACCCAAGCUUUGGGUUCCUUCUGUCCCACUGGGAGUUGCCCAGUUUGGUUGCAUCUGGUGAAAUUCACCCUGAGACCUUACAGAACUAGCUCAAACUACAUGAGAGCCAUUUGCAGUUCUCUCCAGACACCUGGAGAAUGGGUGAUGUUUCUGAGGAUCUGGCAAGUAUACUUCUAUCAAAACUCAGUCUGUGAAAUUUCUGGGGAAAACCCUUCUGUGUCCUGAAGGGUUCAAACUCUGGUGAGGAUCCAGUUAUCAGGUGCUCACCUGGAUGGUUCCAGCUCUUAAAGUGAACACUUGUACUCUUGCCCUGUAGUUUAUAUGUAUUGUAUUUUUGUUAUUUUGCAAGAUUUUACAGCUUUGCAAAAUACUGGGCAUUUCACUCUUUGGAACCUCUCAGAUCGUUCUUUGGUGCAGCACCACCUCAUGGGACACUUGGCUGCUGUCCUGAAGGGGUUGGUCGCUAGAAUUGUAAAUCCUGGAGAGUUUAUAAGUCUUCUGUCCCCAGGGAGGUAUCAUGCUUUGUUUACUUUUGUUCUGUUUGUUAGGCACUGCUUCUCGUUGGAAGUAUGAAUUUCAAACUACCCUGUUCUUUUUUUAACAGUUUUCCUGGUUCUCUCCGUACGGCAGGGAAAGACUCUCGUAUCCUUGUCGUCAGGCUCGGUGCUGUCCAAGAAGAUACAGAGACUAAAAAAAUCAUAAGAAGCAAAAUAUGACUGCAGGGAAAACAAGCUGGAGAGAACAAAAGGCUGCCAUUUGUGUGCCAUCGGUACUCACCACGGAAGUGAGCUGGGGAUUGUUGCAGCUGUUGGGAACAAACCGCUUCUCGUCACACAGAAAUGGAAUUGGGAUGACGCCUCGGCCAGCCCCUCUCUGCCAUCGUCUCCUGAAUCUGCAGCAGAGCAGUUCCAGUCCAUCCGGGCACGUGUAAUCCAGUUCCUGAUGAUCUGAGCACACGGAGCAGCACUCAGCUGCUGUGGGGGGCUCAGGGAAGGCAGAGUGUGCAUUGUCAUCUUCCUGAACCUACAGACGAAUCAAAGUGAGAAGCUACAGCGUGGAAAUCAGUCGCAUAUAUGCUAAAUAAAACUUGCAGAUUUUUUAAAGAA